rnacentral:lncRNA from 1 species
GUAAGUGCCAAUAAGUUGAUGAUUAGCUAGCUGCAUGAUUAAGAGAAUGAGAUCAUACCAAACUUUCUGGCUGCUCUUGCCUCAGCAGCUGCUGUUCCAUGUGGUUGAAGUCUCGAUAGUAAUUGAGCCCAGCCCAAGAUGUCCUGUUCUUUUCUUGUGCUCUUUCUCCAAGAAAAGAAAUCUAGGACGAAGCAGUCAUCCCACCGUGAGUACAAGAAUCAUAGGCCAGUAGUUAGAUGCACUGUUGGAAAUGACCGUCGAACUUUUCUGCAUUCCUGGCAUUGCCAGGAUGCAUACACUGCAUUGAUAAGACACCUUGACUUUCCUUUUCUGGAUACUUAAUCUUCCCAAUCAUGCUGACAUCUGUUCAUCUUUCAUGCCAUUUCAAAGUAGAUACUAGUGACUCUUGUUUGGCCAUUCCACUUGAACAGUGAUGUAAGUCUUGUCUUGACCAGCCCACCGGUAGAUGCUGGCACUGCUUGGUCAGUGAAUGAUAAGGAUGAUCGGUGACUUACUGCUUGAACUAGUUGUGGAGGGGACAAGUGUGGCUCAUGUUGGUGUUUCAUGCGUUCCAUGUCCAAAUCUGAGGUGUGAGGGUUGUGCAUUCUGCAUGGCUACCAAAGAAGAAAGAACCAUUCCUGUGGAUGGAGUUCAUAAAAUUUAGAGGUUUUAAGAUUCGUUAUUAAGAAUAACUAUCAGUAUUGAUUGACUAACCAACCUGAUGAUUUUACAAGGUCAUGGUGGAUCCAGAUGCACCAAGCCCCAGCAAUCCAACCGAAAGAGAGCACCUGCAUUGGUAAGAUCUAAUUGUAUAUUGGUGGUAAUGCACAAAACAGGAAAAUGGAGAAUCUACUCAUGGCUCUUUUGAUGUACUUUAUUUAGGUUGGUGACAAACAUACCAGAAACAAAGAACACCAGCUUUGGUGAGUGAGAACAGCAGCAUGACAAGUCUCCAAUCCUUCAUCAUGCAUCUUUUACUGUAGAAUCUAUACUAGCUGAAUGGCAUCCACAAUGGCUAUUUCUUCUAUCACUCAACUUCAUCUAGAGUGAGAACAAAAUAUGAGCCAUGCCU